rnacentral:misc_RNA from 1 species
UUAAUUCUAGAUCAGAUUCAGACACAGACAGAUCGGUUGCAUUAAUGCGACGCCACGGGGGCGUCGAAGCACGGGUCGAUUCCACGGUUUUUUGGGGUUGAAGGCCCAGAGGGUCAUUCAUUAAUGAUCCCUCCGCAGGUUCACCUACGGAGA